rnacentral:rRNA from 1 species
UCUCUUCGGAGCAUUUUACGAGGUGCUGCAUGGUUGUCGUCAGCUCGUGCCGUGAGGUGUCGGGUUAAGGUCCCAUAACGAGCGCAACCCCUACCUUAGUUGCCAUCAGGUAAUGCUGGGGACUCUAAAGGAACUGCCUACGCAAGUAGUGAGGAAGGCGGGGAUGACGUCAAAUCAGCACGGCCCUUACGUCCAGGGCUACACACGUGCUACAAUGGCCGAUACAGAGGGCAGCUACCUGGUGACAGGAUGCAAAUCUCCAAAGUCGGUCUCAGUUCGGAUCGGAGUCUGCAACCCGACUCCGUGAAGUUGGAUUCGCUAGUAAUCGCGCAUCAGCCAUGGCGCGGUGAAUACGUUCCCGGGCCUU